GACGAUACAAGUGUUUCUGCUCUUCACCAUACAACAUGUUAUCGAUGUUAUUGCAUUAUCAAAAUGGAAAAGGUAAUCUAGCAAAUCAUUUGUACUAGUUCAAACAAUCUGAUGAUGUUGCCUGACGUCUGUUCAUUUUGCCGAUAUGCCGUCUCUUGCUAUCUGUACGUCUGUACGUCUCAUGACGUCCCAUGCUCCUUUCACUCACAGCAAAAGGUUGUUUGUUUGGAACUGGUGGAUGUUACUAAAAAAAGCCAUUGAAGAAAACUCCAUCAGUAAUCAACUUAUUCUUCAUUUUCACCAUUUGGAGAUCAAGCGAAGAAAAUCCCAACUCUUAAGCCGAUUUUUUCCGCAUGCGGAUAUUAAAUGAAUCGACUCACAAUUUCACAUCGAAAGUCACUGCUCCAGUCAAUCUGGAAAAACUGAACAGGUGCGUCUACUUGGAAGUAGGUUACAAGGCUGCUGUGCUGUGCAAUAUAUUGCUGCUGAAGAAAAUGCUAGCCAGUGAGAAGAAUGUUAAUGUUGUUGUCAAAAGAUUGAGGAUCGCCAACACCUAUGUCUAUGGAUUCCAAGUUAAAAAAGAAAAAAACAAAACAAUGAAUCUUCUCUAUAGAAACCUACAAUGUUAGCAACAAGAUUGUUGAACUCUGAACUAUGACUGACAUGGGAGCAAAUACUGGUUCAGUACAAGGCACAUAUUCAUCAAACUGACAACCAGGAAGAAAUUGGCAGUAAUUGGAAACUAUUGCCAUGGAGGACUGUCAAGAUAUAGUACUACUUGAGCUGCCUUAUCAACUUUAAAAAUAUCUGCUUGCACUUUUUGCCAAGACAAAAUUUGAAAAACCCUUUGUCAUGAAAAAAAUACGACCAGAGGCAAGAAAUGUUGAAACAGAUUCCUCGUACGAUACACCAUAAAUGAGCGCCAGCCAAUUAUUGGAAACCAUCGUGAUCGUGGUGUCAGCAAUGGCGGAGGAAUUUAUCUAGCAACUCCGGAAGAAUUACGGAAUCAUCUCCAACUCUUCUAUGGAUUUCUGAAGGAGCUAUGACUCAUGUUCGUUCUGAGGUUCAUUCAUGAGUGCCCUCUUUAACGUGGUCGAAACAACACAGGAUAUUUCAACUUGCGAUUUCAGUGUCUGAAAUUUGAACUGAAAGACGGCCAUCCGUUUCUUGCGCACACGGUUGACAGGUACGAAAGCCUACAGUACAGUGUUAGUUCAAAAUCAUUCUAUUCUACUGUAUGUGCCAUGUGCCAUCACAGUAAUAAAGGAUUCAUCUCUCAUUCCAUCUUCUAUAGAACCUAGGAUAACUGAUCGGUGGUUUCAUAUGUAAGUUCAAUUGUCAUGUCACUGAACCAAAUCGUCCAAUUAUAUCGCCAAUCUGCAGAAGUGACCAUGUUACCAACUCAUAUUUUUAUCCCACUCCCAGUGAGUCGUCUGACCAUGUGUCCUGAAAGUGCUGGCCGUAUGCAGAAAUGCCGUCUCGUACUAGAAAGUAGAAACUUGAAUGGAAUGUGCAUCAUAUCUUGCCGAGUGGGUGUCUGAGAACGGAUAUGAUUGCUACUGCGGGGUCUGAAAGCUUACAUUAUAUACAUUUCAAUUCUAUGUGUUGUGGAUUUCUCUACAUUUUCUGAAGACUUUCACUGCAUGUUGGGAUGUUUUGUUAUUUGGAGAAGUACUUUUACUUUGAAGUAGAUUAAUUCAGGCUGUUGAAUGAUGGUGUUUGCUGCUCAAUGUGAAGAUGGUGAAAGGAGUGCUUGACUGGGAAUAAGCUGCGAUUGUCUCUGGUGUUGGUGAAUCUGCAUUCACUUUGCUUACAGUCUUCAGCUUUGUUGAACAUUAGCAUGGCUUGCUUUUCUUUCCUUCCGAGACGUUGUUGGAUAACGUUUACCUCAGUCAUUAUAACAUUAACAGUUCCUUCAAUUUACAUUUGGCAAUUCAAUCUGAUCAUGCGACCUGCCUUCCUAAAAUGUCGUGUCUUGCUGUAUGUUGCAUGUUUCGUCAAGAAGAUGAGUUAUUUUCUCACCAUUCGUUUAAGCUGAACCGAUAGUGAAGGUAAACCAAUUUAAAGUAACAGGUGAUUUCUUUUUCUCCACAGGUCGCUGCCGUGCCAUGAAGAUGGUCUUUGUGAGGGUCUACUAUGUUGCAAGACAAAUGUGUUGAACGGAGGGAAUCUGUUGAGUUUAGAGAUGCGUUUGACUUUUGCAGACAUCCACUCGCCGGGCCUGGGCCUGAACGUCCUACAUCCCUGGCUGAAGAGGGGUAGUAUUACUUGCAAUGUAACAGCAACAAAGACAUCUUGAAAAGAACUUGGCGAUAGUAUUAAGUGUCAAUAUGCUGCAUUCAUUUCAUGAAGCCGAUGUUAUCCAGAAGUGUUGCAGGGACACUUGAAGUUAGAUGCAAGAAAACCUCUAGAAAUGGAGUUGGUGGAAAUGAAAAGAGGUUUUGUUGCUGCCUGUUCAAACUUUUAUGCUGUAUCUGCUGAAAUCCUUGAAGUAGCUGAUGCUGAUAUUAUUCUACAUUUGGAUUCCCAGUGCAAUUUUGGUUUUCUACUAAAAUAUUUUGUUUUAUUUGUUUUCUUCUGUAUAGUAUAUAAUUUAAACCAUUUGAUAUUUUGGUUUUCAAUGUAGUAUGUUGCAGCUUAAGUUCAUUGUGCGGUUGUCUUCGUUGUCUUAAAGCAAUGUUUCAUUUACUUCAUACUUGAAACCUAAACCUGAAAUCACUUGUUUAAUUUUGUAUACUUAAUUGCUGUUUCAUUAAAUCAUGUAUGAAUUCAUUAAACAUACGUUCAAAUUCGAAA